rnacentral:rRNA from 2 species
CUCGUUGAUGAUCGGUGCUUGCACCGAGAUUCAACAUGGAACGAGUGGCGGACGGGUGAGUAACACGUGGGUAACCUGCCCUUAAGUGGGGGAUAACAUUUGGAAACAGAUGCUAAUACCGCAUAGAUCCAAGAACCGCAUGGUUCUUGGCUGAAAGAUGGCGUAAGCUAUCGCUUUUGGAUGGACCCGCGGCGUAUUAGCUAGUUGGUGAGGUAAUGGCUCACCAAGGCGAUGAUACGUAGCCGAACUGAGAGGUUGAUCGGCCACAUUGGGACUGAGACACGGCCCAAACUCCUACGGGAGGCAGCAGUAGGGAAUCUUCCACAAUGGACGCAAGUCUGAUGGAGCAACGCCGCGUGAGUGAAGAAGGCUUUCGGGUCGUAAAACUCUGUUGUUGGAGAAGAAUGGUCGGCAGAGUAACUGUUGCCGGCGUGACGGUAUCCAACCAGAAAGCCACGGCUAACUACGUGCCAGCAGCCGCGGUAAUACGUAGGUGGCAAGCG